UUCGAAUGGAAACUCUCCGGUAGCACAAAAGUAUAGUGUACAUCCCAGCGACCAAAGAUCACAUUGUUCCGGAGUGUAAGCUGAUUUUGUUUUCCA
ensembl:ncRNA Y39G8B.11 ncRNA